UCCCACACUUUAUUAUUCCAAACAUAAAAUCAGAACAGGUCUUAAACGAAUAAGUUUUAUGAGAGGCUAUCCUCUGGUAUUAUACAAUCUCCACUUAUCUUUUGAGAUUCUCAAAAAGAAAAUUUGUACAUAUACAAAUACACACUUUGAGGGCUGUAAUUUUUUCUUAGAGUGGUACUAACUUAAGUAUAAUAGCUAGGUCUAUUUAACAUCUGUGGCUUAACUAAUGAUUCCAGUGAAGUUAAACUGAACCCUCAAUUUUUUUUUAGUACCCUUCAGAUCCAAAAAUCUGGACUGAAGCCACAUAAUGGGAUUUUAUCAUGUAUUCUUUUUAUACUUUUGUAAUAGUAGCCAUAGUAACAUUAAAAUGAAUAGUAUAACUAAUAAGAUUGGGCUAGCAGGAGUCCCAAAAACAAUAUAUGAUGAAUUUAGACCUAUUAGGGUUUGAAUCUUUGGUUCCAGGAAAUUGAGUGAGGCCAAGCAAGAUGCUUAGAGCAAUAACCCAUACCUUCUCUGAUUAUGAUCUUAAGAAAUUAAAGCUAAUUUUAAUACUGGAAACAGGAAAUAGUAAUUAUUUUUGUUACUUACAAAUACAUAUGAGGUUUAAAGAGCUUCUGAUGCAGUCUGUCCCACUAGGCAUCACUCCUCUUCCAUGCCACCUACAUAGCUCCUGAGUAGGAAAUUUAAAAUCGCAUGACUUACCUACUUUAAGAAAUGUGGUAUUUUGUGUGGCAAAGCUAAAAUCAAUUGACUCAACUCUAGGAGGAUAAAAGAAAAUUGUACUGUGUACAAACAGCUUGAUACAAACAGUAUAAAUAGAUCAACUUAUGAGUCUGGAGCCUUGAAGUUAUACUGAUUUAAAAAAAUACAGUCACUGUAUAGAGAUGAUGAAUCUCCUCAAUAAACUUAAUAUGUUUUUGAAAAAUAAAUCAUUUACAUCCAUAAACACAAGGGGAAUAUUGUAAUAGAAAAGGAGUAUCAUCUUCACUGAAUUCUUGGUCUUUGAAAAAUACCAUAAACUUUUCUAAUUACCAAAGACAUGCCGGGACCAGAGAAGAAAUGGAUCCACUGUUUUCGAGCAGACUUAGUGAUGGUGAUCACUUUUCUCUUUUAAGACAAAUCUUUAAAAAUACCUAGCAAUCUACGCCUUUACUUACUUUGGCAAUGAGUGAAUUGCUCAUUCUAGCCUAGUGCUUGCAUUUUGCAUGGAGAAAGUACAUAAUCUGGGAGUAUUGGUUGAACUGAAUUGAGUUGACCGUCUAGUCCAAUGUCCGAUUGAGUGAGAAGAAAAAUAAUCAAAGUGGCUGUUGAUUAAAGUGAAUAUGAGGUAAUGGAUAAUUACUUGAGUUGUAGCAGAGAGAUUUAUAUAUCUGCAAGGAGGUAUACUAAGUUCAUCCCUAUUCUAAUUUUCUAUGAUUUAAUGAGCGGGUGCCCAUUUAGACACAGCCACUACUUUUAAAAAUUACUGGCACAAUGGUCUCAGUGUAUUCAACUUGACUGAAUAUCUUUAUAGGAAAUAAAAAACAGAAGAUGGCUUCUAUCACCUCACUAGGACUGAAAACAGCAUUUUAAGAUCUAGAGUAAUAGCACUUCCCUUGCAUUAAGGAAAUAAAUUAAUAUUUUCACAUAAUAUAAAAGUGAAUAGUGUUAUAUGAAUCUUUCAGAAAAUAUUGAAUUCUAGGAUAUAUUAUUUCUAUAAUUUCAAAUUCAUUAUAUUCAAAACUAGCCCCCUCCCCCAAUAAUCCAAACUGCAGAUUGGCUAACACUAAUGAAAUGUUGCUUUCAUUAUGUUUGUUCUGUACCACUAAGUCUACACUCAGCUCAUUCCACUGCCACUCAAUUCACUGUGUCUUGCCUUCUGCCAACUUUCACUAUCCCUCUGUAGCCUUGUCCCAUACAACCCAAACAAUUGUCUUACUCUCUUUGGAAUUCAGGGAACUUGGCCCCAUACUACUCUGUCCCAUUUCCUUGUCCCUUCCAUGACCUCCUACCAAAUCCUCCCCUUAACCUUAGAAUCAAGCACAUAAACAACCAAAGAAAAAUGGGUCCUAAAUAAACACUCCAGGCAUGGAUUUUUGACUCCUUCCUUUCUCCUUAUGGAAGUCCAGGACACAUAGGAGAUGCUCAUUAAAUAUUGAUAAUUUGGUAACUUAUUAACAGGAGUAAUUACAAUAUGAAUUCAACUACAUUCUUCAGAAAACCAGUCUUUAAUAUUUAACUACAUAGAGCAAAGCCUCGUACUCAAUAACAUUUAGUAUCUCUACCCCGUUUAACAAAUAUUUAAGAUUUCACAGUAUUUCCUAAGUAAUUUCCUACGGCAUUACUGCAGCAUUCCUCAAGUGGCAAUGGUCUCAAAUGUCCUUAUCAGAGCUUCCAAAUAGCUUCCAUUCCCUCUUCGUGGCCUAUGUACCCCUCCUGCCACUCACAGCUCACAGCUGAGUCCCUCACUGGGCUUUGCCCUUGGCAGCAGGAAGCUGUCUUGUUCACAGUUAUGCCACCUUCCAUGGGGCAGCCCACAGACAAUGACUCCUGGAUGGGGGAAUAGAAAGCCUUGACCCUUGACUCAACUGCGGACAACUGUGAAAGACCCAUAGGAUACCGUGGGGCUUCAGAUGCAACCAUCCUGCAAUUGCUUUCUUCCUCUGCCUCAGAAGCAACAAAACGAUCUAUUUCUAGGCAACCCAAAUGAACCUAGAUGUUUUCCCCACUAGCCCAUAAGCUUUUGACGGCAAGAACUUUCUUUAACAUCUUCAGCCCAUGUUAAGCACGACCCUUAUAGGAAACAGGACCCUCAAAUAGUUCUCACUCAUUCACAUGAAGGAGUUAAUCAAUUAAAGUGGAAGAAUCGCAACUGGAAUGAGCAAUUCUGCUAAUUUAAUAGGAUCGAAGAACAGUGGUUACCAAGGGCCAGCAUAAGCCACACUGGCUGCUCAAUAAUCACCUGGGAGAAUGGCCACGCCUGCAUUUCAGCAUGGGAGGAUCUUAGCCAGCAUCCCUCUGGUUGGCAAAGGUGUCGAACUUGAAAGUUGAAGCUGAGUUGGUAGGGCACUUUGGAGAAUAUUGAGAAAUCAUCCAUUAUCCAUUAAAAAGUAUGGCAGAGGCAGGGCAUAUCGAUAGAGACUUGAGAGGGCUCUGCUGAAACCCUUCUAAAGCACACCUUGGUGCUCCCACUGACCUCGACAGUUUUUAAAAGAACAAAUUCCUAUGCUCCUACUCCUACAUCCUGCCACAGAAUCCUUACCUCAGGGUAAAGGAGUGAGUUUUGACAACUAGACUGUUCUACUUGUUCUUUUAGCUGAAUUCUGGAGAUCAUGCACGUAAGUUUUUAGCUUGUGCCUAAGUAAAUUGUAUUCCUUUUCAUUUUAUCUUCAAUAUUUAGCCAUUUCCCAAGUUAGCAGAACUCCCAACAUAGAAUGAUCGGAAAAAGCGUGGAAAAAAAACCAAUCCUUAUGGGUUUGUUUCAUUCUACUUAGUAGAAGUGUAGACAAAGUAUUUGGUAAGAAAA
rnacentral:lncRNA from 1 species